rnacentral:misc_RNA from 1 species
GUGAAUCAUCGAAUCUUUGAACGCACAUUGCACUGGCUGGAAUUCCGGCCAGUAUGCCUGUUUGAGUAUCAGUUCCACCUCCACUCAAAAAUCUUUGAUUUUCGAGUGGGAUUUGAGCCUAGACAAAGUUAUAUUUGCCUGGCUUGGAAUAGAUAAAGUGCUAGACUUAAGUGCUGACAGAGCUAGUCCACAGGCUUUAAAACCUGGGAAUAUCUGUUUGACCUUAAGUUGAGUACUCUCUUCAUUUUGACUGAGAUUUUACAUCUCUGAUUCUUGAUCUCAAAUCAGGCAAGACUACCC